rnacentral:rRNA from 1 species
GAUGAACGCUGGCGGCGUGCCUAACACAUGCAAAGUCGAGCGAAGUUUAGAGGAAGUGCUGCCGGAAUCGAAGACUUAGCGGCGGGACGGGUGAGUAACGCGUGAGCAACCUACCUUUCACAGGGGAAUAACAACGGGAAACCGUUGCUAAUCCGCAUGAUAUUAAGAGAAGACAUCUUCUUUUAAUCAAAGGAGCAAUCCGGUGAAAGAUGGGGCUCGCGUCCGAUUAGCUAGUUGGUAAGGUAAAGGCUUACCAAGGCAACGAUCGGUAGCCGAACUGAGAGGUUGACCGGCCACAUUGGGACUGAGACACGGCCCAGACUCCUACGGGAGGCAGCAGUGGGGAAUAUUGGGCAAUGGGCGAAAGCCUGACCCAGCAACGCCGCGUGAAGGAUGAAGGCCUUAGGGUUGUAAACUUCUUUGAUCAGGGAAGAAAAAAAUGACGGUACCUGAAGAACAAGCCACGGCUAACUACGUGCCAGCAGCCGCGGUAAUACGUAGGUGGCAAGCGUUAUCCGGAUUUACUGGGUGUAAAGGGCGUGCAGGCGGGUUUGUAAGUCAGAUGUGAAAUCUCCAGGCUUAACUUGGAAACUGCAUCUGAAACUACAAAUCUUGAGUACUGGAGAGGAUAGUGGAAUUCCUAGUGUAGCGGUAAAAUGCGUAGAUAUUAGGAGGAACACCAGUGGCGAAGGCGGCUAUCUGGACAGUAACUGACGCUGAGGCGCGAAAGCGUGGGUAGCAAACAGG